GUCUGAUUCAGAGGCAGACAGAUUGUUCUUUUGAUUAAAGCCACAGUGGCUGAGGCUUGAGGAGCGCUGGACCCAGCGCCAUCUGCGGGGUGGCCAGACAGGAUCUGGCCCGUCCUGCAACCCCUCAGCUACAGUCACCCCUCCAGGGUGGCUCUGGGGCUGUUUCUGAGGGAGGCUGGUUUAUGAGGGUCAGAGGAGGCUGCCUCCGCCCUCACCCACUGAUCAUCGCCCCUCCCAUCCCUCUUGUCGCCCCUUUUCCCAUUUGAUCCUCUCAGCCAAGCUGCAGUAACAGCAGCAGUCCCAGGAGCUGCCAUUGAUAGGGGCUUUCUAGGUGCUGGUACCCAUCCUCAUCCCCAUCCUAAUCCCACAAGAGCCAUGAGCACCAGGGCUGAUGAUUCCUGUUCACGGUCAAGGACACUGAGGCCCCGAGAGGCUCAAGGCCACACUAGGGGCAAAUGGCAGAGCCAAAUUCAAACCAGAGCCGCUGUGUCCCUGGGCACACAGCUCUGCUAGUCUCAAGAACAGGUACCAGUGCCAUCCUUUACAGAAUCGGAAGCUGGGGCUUGGAGGUGCUGAGAGUUCUGUGCAGCAGGGCGAGGCUGGGACUCAAGGCUGUCUGAGUCCCUGCUCGGCUCAUUCCUGGCUUGGCAGUGAUAUCCUGCCCCUGCCCCCCAAAACUCCAGCUUUGCAGCACCCUUUGGAGGAGACUUCCCCAUACCCUCUGAACGACAGAGACGGGAAGGACUCAAAGGAGGAAGCACCCCAGGCCACCUGUUCCACCGCCACCACUGCUCCCGGAUGGAGGGAUUCGUCCUGGCCCGCAGCAGCUCGGGUGUCGAUGUCACCGAUCGGCAGGUGCCAAACUUCCUGCAACGGAAACCCAGGAAGUGCGCUGGAUGAGAACACACGCCCUUUGUCUGCCAGCUCAGAGGCUCUGCUGCCCUCCGCCCUCCCUGCCAGGCUCACAACGGCUUUCUUCUCCCUUAGAUGGCUCCAGCAGGCAAGGGGCUCAAUCUUCUAUUAGGAUGGUGGCAGCUGAGACCCUGAGUGGCAGGGAAGGGGUGGAAGAGAGGUUUGAGGGCAAGUCUGCUUGCCGGGGCGGGGGUGGCACCUCCACAGUGGAGAGCUUUGACUGAGCAGACACUGACCGGGCACCUACUGUGUGCAAUGCAUGAGUCAAGGAGCCGACGGGAUCAAAUCAGACAUGAUCAGUCCUUGUCCCCACAGUCCUUACAGGGAGAUUGGGUAGAGCAAACCAUAAAGCAAAUUAACAUAACAAUAACCAAUAGUAAAAGGUGCUAUGAAGGAAUGGACAAGGGGUCUGAGACAAAAGGGGGUGGGGUGGGUGUGGGGUGUGGGGUGUGGGGGGAAAUCCUCUCUGAGGAGGUGAGGGUUAAGCUGAGAUGGGGAGGAGCCAGUGUGAGAAUAGGGACGAAUAUUCCCAGGGAAAGGGGGCAGAAGGGAAAACAUGGGCUUUAAAGGUCAGAGGUCAGCUUGGCAGACAGCCUCAGAAGCCCCUUGGGCCUCCCAGCUCCUUCCUCCAUCCUCCAUCUUCCACCCUACCUGCUUGGAGUCAGGUCAGUCCAAUGCUUAUUUCCUGGGCGCUGCUGUGUGUGGGGCCCUGUGCUAGGCAGGGCGGGGAGAGGAGCAGCAUAGAGAAAAGGGAGCUCCCCCAUGGUGGCCGGGUCAGAUGGGGACACAGAUACAGCUGUGAGUAACAUCAGUAUCUGGGAGUGAUUCCAGCUCUGCCACUUGCCAGCCUUGGGCAAAUCACUUCUCUCUGGGCCUCAGUUUCCUCUUGCAACCGAGGGGUUGCCAACCCAGGUUUGUCCCUUGUGGCUUCAUAGCAAGAAUCUGGUGGGGUAAAUGUGGGUAAAAAUACCUGAUGCUCAGUAGGUGUUCAGAGAUGAGUUCCUUUGCUCUCCCUACCACAUGAAGGAUAGAAGUUUUAGUAAGAGGGACAAAGUUCUGAAGGGAAGGGAAGGACGUGACUUUGUCCUGCAAGAGAAUCCAAGGAACAUCCAUGGCUCCUGAUAGCCAGCACUACUUUCCCUGAUUCUGAUAACAGCACUCAGUUUCUGUUUGGGGAACCUCUCUUCCACUCUCAGUGCCUGGUGUAUACAUGACCCAUGUCCAGCCAAUCAUAGUGGCUGUUAGUUCUAAGAUCAGCUCUCUGGGCUUGUUGGCUGGCAGAAUACAAGCUUGACACCACUUUUGCCCCCCACUUGGACCACCACAGAGGACAGCAGAGCAAAGAGAUAGGAAAGAAAGAUAACUGAUUUCAUCAGCUGCUGGAUCCAGCCAUACCUGCAAUCCUACUACCAGACCUCCAGAGUCAAUGCAUUUUUUUCCCUUACUUUUUAUUUUUUAUUCUUUUGAGACAGUCUUGCUCUGUCGCCCAGACUGGAGUACAACUAUGGGCUCCC
rnacentral:lncRNA from 1 species